rnacentral:tRNA from 1 species
CAUUUUUGAGCCAUUUAUAUAUUUAAUAUAAUCGAGACCUAAAAACCUCCUCAAAAUAA